rnacentral:rRNA from 1 species
CCUACGGGUGGCAGCAGUGGGGAAUAUUGCACAAUGGGGGAAACCCUGAUGCAGCGACGCCGCGUGAGUGAAGAAGUAUUUCGGUAUGUAAAGCUCUAUCAGCAGGGAAGAAAAUGACGGUACCUGACUAAGAAGCCCCGGCUAACUACGUGCCAGCAGCCGCGGUAAUACGGAGGAUGCAAGCGUUAUCCGGAUUUACUGGGUGUAAAGGGAGCGUAGACGGUGCAUCAAGUCUGAUGUGAAAGGUCGGGGCCCAACCCCAGGACUGCAUUGGAAACUGUUGAACUGGAGUACAGUAGAGGUAAGCGGAAUUCGUAGUGUAGCGGUGAAAUGCUUAGAUAUCAGGAGGAACACCAGUGGCGAAGGCGGUUCACUGGACUGUAACUGACAUUGAGGCUCGAAAGUGUGGGUAGCAAACAGGAUUAGAUACCCGUGUAGUC